rnacentral:rRNA from 1 species
CGGCCGUAACUAUAACGGUCCUAAGGUAGCGAAAUUCCUUGUCGGGUAAGUUCCGACCUGCACGAAUGGUGUAACGAUCUGGGCGCUGUCUCAGCCAUGAGCUCGGUGAAAUUGUAGAAGCGGUGAAGAUGCCGCUUACCCGCAAUGGGACGAAAAGACCCCGUGAACCUUCACUACAGCUUAGCAUUGGCGUUGGUCAUGUGAUGUGUAGGAUAGGUGGGAGGCUUAGAUCCGGCGACGCUAGUUGUCGGGGAGCCGCCGUUGAAAUACCACCCUUCGCAUGUCCGGCGCCUAAUCCGCGGGAUGCGGAGACAAUGCUUGGUGGGUAGUUUGACUGGGGUGGUCGCCUCCAAAAGAGUAACGGAGGCUCCCAAAGGUGCCCUCAGCACGGUUGGCAACCGUGCGGUGAGUGCAUUGGCACAAGGGCGCUUGACUGCGAGACAGACAAGUCGAGCAGGUGCGAAAGCAGGGCAAAGUGAUCCGGCGGUACCGUAUGGAAGGGCCGUCGCUCAAAGGAUAAAAGGUACUCCGGGGAUAACAGGCUGAUCACUCCCAAGAGCUCAUAUCGACGGAGUGGUUUGGCACCUCGAUGUCGGCCCGUCACAUCCUGGGGCUGGAGAAGGUCCCAAGGGUUCGGCUGUUCGCCGAUUAAAGUGGCACGCGAGCUGGGUUCAGAACGUCGCGAGACAGUUCGGUCUCUAUCUAUUGUGGGCGUUUGAGACUUGAGAGGGGCUGUCCUUAGUACGAGAGGACCGGGACGGACGAACCUCCUGUGCACCGGUUGUGGCGCCAGCCGCACCGCCGGGUAGCAGCGUUCGGACGGGAUAAGCGCUGAAAGCAUCUAAGCGCGAAGCCCACCUCAAGAUGAGGUCUCAUUUCAGGGUCGUGCUAGACGAGCACGUUGAUAGGGCGCAGGUGCAAGCGUGGCGACACGUUCAGCCGAGCGCUACUAAUAGCCCGAACACUUCACGUG